rnacentral:miRNA from 1 species
GUUAUUUCGAGAAGUAAUUUCUAAAACUAUGUUUAUAACAAAAUAAUACAGUUUUAGAAAUUACUUUUUGAAAUAAU